GUCUCUUUGAACUUUAAACAUCUGCUCAACAUCCUUCAUGUAGGACAACGCAUCAUCGAUUCCCAUAUAUCUGUUAGUGCCAUACAACAACAAGCUCUUCUCACUUAGUUAAAAUUUUUAUUUUAAACCCUAAAUCUAAACCAACUUAUAAGGAAAAAACAUAAACCCUAAACCCUGAACCUCAUUGCUACAAGUUUAGAUUUCCCAAAUGGAGAACUCUUAGGAUUUGCCACGAGAGGAGGCCAGAGGACGUUUAAGUUGAGGGGCAGAGGCGUAAAUAUCAUCAUCCUGUGAUAUAACAAACUAAGUGUAAUAUAUUGGAGAAUUAGACAAGAAGAGUCUAAUAUAUAAAGAGAUGUCUAACUCUACGAGGCCUUUUGGGAAGGAAACCAAAAGUAAAUCCUUGCGGGCUUGUCAAUUAGGCCCAAAGUUGACAAUAUCGUACUAAUCGGAUAAUAAAGAGUUCGACAUGGAUUUAAUCCCAACAAUUGGUAUGAGAGCGGUUGACGAGAAAUCUGCAAGAAGACCAAAAUACAUAACAAAUCUAGAACGUCGAUCUCAAGAACACACAAGAUAAUAACUCAAAAUAAGAAACUCAUCUUAUUAAUCUUUUGAGAAAACUACUCAAAACCUCAAGCUCUCAAUCUCACAAUCUCACAAUCUCAAACUCAUAAGUUAUGCAACAUCAUAUGCAUCUCCUUAUAUAUAACUCAAUAGCUCCUAAACUCAUUAGGAAUCACACAAAUAGAUAAUUUCCUAUUCCAUAAUUCAAUAGAAUUAGUUAACUUGCAUCCCAAGUUAUUUCUCAAAUUUCCUUUUUUCUUCGAGCUUAAUCCAACACAUCCCUGCUCCGCUUCAUUGCUGCUUGAAACACUUCGAUUUACCCACACACCACUAUUCACAUAAACAAGAAUUGCGAUGACCAGAGAGUGAAAUCACUACACACUUAACUAAUAAGCCAAGCUGCUUGCGUCGGAAAAUUACCUCCUUCGACUCUGUUUCAGCGGCGGCAAAUAUUUUUAGUAUUUUUUUUGGAUGGGCUGAGUCAAGGCCCAUGACGAUAUAAACCAACCGCCACUUACGAAUCUUCUUUGGGCCAAUGGACCCAAAUAUAAAUCCUUUUAUAAAUUACUACUCAUUAGGGUUUGCUUCUUAUAACUCGUUGAAGACGAUAUUUAAAAGGAGAGGCGGAUGCCUCAGAGAUAGAUCUACUGUUAUCUUCUUCUUCACAGGAUCUUUAGUUUUUUUUUUUGUGUUUUGGAUUCUGAAUCGUUCUAAGAUCAGUUGAUGAGCAAAUACUGCAACAAUAUGAACUAUAUGAUUAUUAGUAUUUUAUUUCUCUGAUGAUCUUCUUUUUGUUUUUUCUAUUUUUCGGUUUGUUGGAUUAGGAACAAGAGAUGUGAUGAGUAACUUAAUUGGUCCGUGUUUCAGAUUUACCGUGACCGAGACUUUUUAACCAACCUCUGAUCUCUGUGGCCUAUGUUUCAGUUAUUUAUUUGUUUUCUGCUACUGAAAACAUGAACAAGUUUUGGUGUUUGGCUCUGUGAUUACUUUGCCAAAGUGGCAGUAUACGCUAUUCUGAAUACAAUAAGAAAGAUACAUAUUUUAAUAUAUGAGAGCCUUAUUAUCUACUAUAUGGUAUUUUUUGCUAAUCUAUAUUAUGUUUUUCAUUUUUUUCAAAACAAAAACUGCUGCUGUGAUGAUCUUUUGAAUAAAAUUCACAUGUCAGGCUUCAGAGAUUCAUCAAGAAUCAGUGAGAACAAAUAUUCAUAACUCUUGAGCAGUUUCAAUCUCUUUUUUUAUUAAUAUUUAUUAUUUUAGCAAUUGAUUAGUUUAGAUUCUUUGGUUCGUUACCGUAUGAUCAAAUUUGCUUUUUCAUUUUUCACAGAAUAUAACUCAUUACUAAAUUUUUGUUUGUUCUUGGGUUUUUACUAAAUUUUGACUGUAAAUAAGAGACAUGAUGAGUAACAAAUUGGUCCGUGUUUCAGAUUAACCAUGACUGAAAAUUUUACACCAAACUCUGAUCUUAAUUUGAUUUUCAGUUUGAUUUGUUUUCUCAAAAGUUUCUCAGCUAGACCAUGAUACUAUAAUAUGGUGCAAAUCUUAGAGUAUAUAAAUGUGUCGAUAACUACACAAUGUAUAUGAUAAAUACAUGCUACAUAGAUAAAUACAUGCCAUGUAUAUGAUGUUAAUAAAAAUAUGGUGUCAACAUCAUGGUGAAGUUCGAUUGAUUUUAGUUAAAAUAAUUGGGGUGAGAGCGUAAUUAAUUAAAAUUAAACUCUGAUCUGAACCAAACGAAAAACCUGACCCAGAUUUAACCAUUUCCUCCUCCAAAUCGAUUUCAUUUGCAAAACUAGGGUUCAUCGUUCAAAACAGAGAAAAAGAGAAAGAGACAUAGAAUUUGGUGGAAGAUGGAGCAAUAAGGAAAAGGGCAAGGCAAAUGAAAUCAAUGUCCUUUGUUACUGUGGGAUGGUGGCGAAGAUAUCUCAAGCUUGGAUAGACAAAAAUCCGGAUCGAAGGUUCUAUGGAUGUGAAAAAUUCAAGAGGGGAGGUGAUUGCGGGUUUUUUCAAUGGUUCGAUGAGGGAAAAGCUUUUGGAUGGCAAAAGAAAGCUUUGAUUGAAGCUAGAAACGAAAUUCGCCAAAAGAAAAAGACUAUUAUGGGAUUGAAGAAGACCAUUUCGAUGCUUCAAUGUGAAUUGAAAAAAAUGUCGAAGUGGAAGAAGACAUCAUUAACGCCUUUCUCCAGCUCUAAAGACAUGCUCAUUAUCUUUAAAAACCUUUGUAAUGUUGUUGUAAUGCUUAACUAUGUAAUGGUUUGACAAUGUUUGGAAAUCAACUUCAGUUAGCAAUAAAAAAAAGAGUUUGAACUCA